CGGAGGGUGCGAGCGUUGUCCGGAAUCACUGGGCUAAAGGGCGCGUAGGCGGCCUGAUAAGUAGGGGGUGAAAUCCUGCGGCUUAACCGCAGGGCUGCCUUCUAAACUGUCGGGCUAGAGCACGGUAGAGGCAGAUGGAAUUCCCGGUGUAGCGGUGGAAUGCGUAGAGAUCGGGAAGAACAUCAGUGGCGAAGGCGGUCUGCUGGGCCGUUGCUGACGCUGAGGCGCGACAGCGUGGGGAGCAAACAGGAUUAGAUACCCUGGUAGUCCACGCCGUAAACGAUGGGCACUAGGCGUCGGGGGGAGCGACCCUCCCGGUGCCGUCGCUAACGCAGUAAGUGCCCCGCCUGGGGAGUACGGCCGCAAGGCUG
rnacentral:rRNA from 1 species